rnacentral:tRNA from 1 species
GCCUCUAUAGCUCAGCUGGCAGAGCAUUCGCCUUGUAAGCGAAAGGUCAUCGGUUCGAACCCGAUUGGAGGCU